ACUCCUGCGGGAGGCAGCAGUGGGGAAUAUUGGACAAUGGGCGCAAGCCUGAUCCAGCCAUGCCGCGUGAGUGAUGAAGGCCCUAGGGUUGUAAAGCUCUUUCACCGGUGAAGAUAAUGACGGUAACCGGAGAAGAAGCCCCGGCUAACUUCGUGCCAGCAGCCGCGGUAAUACGAAGGGGGCUAGCGUUGUUCGGAUUUACUGGGCGUAAAGCGCACGUAGGCGGACUAUUAAGUCAGGGGUGAAAUCCCGGGGCUCAACCCCGGAACUGCCUUUGAUACUGGUAGUCUUGAGUUCGAGAGAGGUGAGUGGAAUUCCGAGUGUAGAGGUGAAAUUCGUAGAUAUUCGGAGGAACACCAGUGGCGAAGGCGGCUCACUGGCUCGAUACUGACGCUGAGGUGCGAAAGCGUGGGGAGCAAACAGGAUUAGAAACCCCAGUAGUCCCAU
rnacentral:rRNA from 1 species